GAUGAACGCUGGCGGCGUGCUUAACACAUGCAAGUCGAACGGGAAAUAUUUCAUUGAGACUUCGGUGGAUUUGAUCUAUUUCUAGUGGCGGACGGGUGAGUAACGCGUGGGUAACCUGCCUUAUACAGGGGGAUAACAGUCAGAAAUGGCUGCUAAUACCGCAUAAGCGCACAGAGCUGCAUGGCUCAGUGUGAAAAACUCCGGUGGUAUAAGAUGGACCCGCGUUGGAUUAGCUUGUUGGCGGGGUAACGGCCCACCAAGGCGACGAUCCAUAGCCGGCCUGAGAGGGUGAACGGCCACAUUGGGACUGAGACACGGCCCAGACUCCUACGGGAGGCAGCAGUGGGGAAUAUUGCACAAUGGGGGAAACCCUGAUGCAGCGACGCCGCGUGAAGGAAGAAGUAUCUCGGUAUGUAAACUUCUAUCAGCAGGGAAGAUAGUGACGGUACCUGACUAAGAAG
rnacentral:rRNA from 1 species